AAUGAACUCCCGGACAUCCCCCACCUCAGCCCAGGGCGGGAGGGCCCUUCCAGCCGCGAUCCCGCUGUCCCCGGUAACCCCCGGGUGGCGCUCCUUGCGGCCGCCCUUCUGCUCGCGGGGAAGCAGCAGUCUCCCCCUCCUUCCGCCGCCUUCCCCUCCCCUCGCCGGGCCCUGGGAUGGACGGUCUCGCGGGCGGGUGGUCUGGAGAGGAACCCGGUUGGAGGGGCAGAUGGAGAAGGGGGCACUUCUCGACGGGGCCUCUUUUCUCUUGACAUCUAGAGCUUUUUGACUGGGUAAAGGCAAGUAGUUUGAUGUGUUAAAAACGUUUAAAUAUUUUUAGCUAGGAAAAAAUAAUAGAGUUUGUGAGUAGCUUGUUUCAAAAUGUUGUUUACAAGUUACAGAUCUGAGAGUCUUUCCUAAGACAAUGCCUCUGUGACUCUGUUGUGUUGUACCAUGAAACUUCAUUAUGAUGUCCCUCCUAGUUAACUUGAUUCUUACUUUUGAAAAACAGCCCUAUUAAAAACAUGGGGUUUCACCAGAUUAAUACAUUGUUAUAUCUUUUUAUUAAGUGAGUAGGUUUAUCCCAAAGUACCGUAUUUGAAAUGGUUAAAAAAUAUUUUGUCUCAAGCUGCUCUUGAGUCCUGCAGUAUUUAAAUACUCUAGUGCUGACCACGUCUUAUUUAUAUAAGAUAUUCAAAAUGUUCUAGUAAUUUGAUUCAAAACUGUGGAAGUAUCCGUAAAGUUUUUCAUACCGAAAUCAACAAGAAUGCUAGGUUGUUUUUCCUCCUUGGAUUUAACAAAGAUUAAAAAGUAGUACUGAAAAGGUUAUUUUUUUUAAGAUGUCACAUACCAUUAUUGAAUGUUAUCAUUGCUAUUUGUAUUUUUCUGUUAUGUUGGUGCUUUGAUAAUCUUAGUGAUUUGUGAAAUUCAGCAUUCUAAGUAUGUCAUGAGUAAUUGACGUAAGUCUGAUAGCACUUGAGGUUUAUUUGUGCCACUGAAUCCACAGUGAUUAUGUAUCUUUCUAAUUAGAAUGAUUCUUUAAAAAUGUUAAAAAGUGACAAAUACUAACAGAUUUAUUGAAUGUAGUAGUAUGUAAGUAGUGAUCGGUUUUACAGAGCAUGUGUAUGAACUCUGAGUUGUGUAUUUGUUCAAGUGCCAAAACUCUGAAUGGAAGGAUGACUUUGUAUUUUUGUGAUACAGUGCAGAAAUAGUCAUAAAUGUCUGUACUGAUAAACAGUGAAACAAUAAUUCUAACUUUUUAUUUAAUAAGAAAAUAUAUUCCAGGAUAGUUGACAUAUAGAUUCUUAAUGAGAGAUUGCAGCUCAUAUUGUUACCAAGAGACUAAAACAUUUCUUCUAUAAUAUGGUUAUACAAGCCCAAAACUUAAAAUAAGACUUCUAAUGCCUUAUUUUCUAUUCUUAAAAGUGGUAAGUUACUGUUCUUGUAAUUCAUAUGGUCUCUGCUUUUUGUCAGGUGGCUUUUCACCAUGAUAUUCUUAUAACUUAAUUUGAAGCUUAAGAGAUAUCUUGUAUUGCUCUAGUAAUGCAUAUUGUUAAAAUAAUACUGCUUUUAAUAUGCGAGAGAUGAUGAAGCCUUGUUUCAAGUGUCAGUGUUUUUUAGAGGAAGAAAGAGGAAAUGCAAACAAAUUAUUUUAAGAACAGUACCUUUAUAAAUCUGGAAGGAAACUUCUUCCAGAAAGUAAGUUGAAAGAACAUUUAGGAAUGGAUCAGAUAAUUUAAUCUUGGGAUAUAAUCAGUAAAUACCUUUAUUUUCACCAAUAUUUUAUUUCAUCGCUGUUUUAGGAGGCCAGGUUCUAUAAGUGGAUUAUGUUUAUUAUUUUCACCUCAUUGAAGGACUUGUAGUACAGUCCAUGUGUUUUCUUUUUAAGUGUGUAAAUGCAGUAUUUUGAGUGGCUGGUCAGGUAAUCAGGUAUUUCAUCAUGUCACCUAUGUAAAUCUCCAGUUUACCAAAGUUUAUUUCAUACGCUUGUGUUUACUAAGAAUACUGGUUGAUUUAUGGACUUUUUUUUUUGGCCUUUUAAGUGCCUUUGUAAAGAUAGCUGAUAUUUGCUGAAUUCUAGCCUAAGAAGUUAGAAGUAGCCGUUCUGGGAGUGUGGAGUUAAUUAAAAUAUAGCUUCAAGAUAAAUCAGAUGUGAGAAGCAAGGUACAGAAUAGUGUGGAGGAGGCC